rnacentral:rRNA from 1 species
UACGUAGGGGGCAAGCGUUGUCCGGAAUCAUUGGGCGUAAAGCGCGUGUAGGCGGCUUGGUAAGUCCGCUCUGAAAGCCCGGGGCUCAACCCCGGGAGGCGGGUGGAUACUGUCAAGCUCGAGUCCGGAAGAGGCGAGUGGAAUUCCUGGUGUAGCGGUGAAAUGCGCAGAUAUCAGGAGGAACACCAAUGGCGAAGGCAGCUCGCUGGGACGUGACUGACGCUGAGACGCGAAAGCGUGGGGAGCAA